CAGAUUUGCUGGCCUUCGCUGUAACGUUGCUGCACCGGUCUACGUGCCGUGCCUACAUUCGGACAAUAAUCAUUUACUUGACCCAGAUGUUGCUGCACAGGUCUCUGAACACCUACAUUGUUGGGAUGGUUCACUUGGCCGGUGUACUGCUGCACAGGUCUCUGUGCAAUUACCUUGUUAGGAUGAUUUACUUGACUGACAUAUUGCUGCACAGGUCUUUGGGCAACUAUAUUGUUUGGGUGACGAUUUACUUGCCUUUUGUUCUGGAAUUGGCGUUGUUGCUGCUGUUCCAAAGGAAAACGCACUGCUCUCACAUUGACAUACCGAGGUAGAGCUGGCGAGGACAAGUGCACAUUCUGAAAU
rnacentral:lncRNA from 1 species